GGUGAUAUUGCUUAGUGGUAGAGUAUUUGCAUAACGUGCAUGAAGUCCAGGGUUCAAUUCCCAGUACCAUCA
rnacentral:tRNA from 1 species